rnacentral:sRNA from 1 species
UAGAUUUCAUCCGUCAAU